AUUGAACGCUGGCGGCAGGCUUAACACAUGCAAGUCGAACGAGUGGCGGACGGGUGAGUAAUGCUUGGGAAUCUGGCUUAUGUAGGGGUCUAACGACGGUAAACUGUCGCUAAUACCGCGUACCAUAGUAUGAGCCCAAGUGGGAUUAGUUAGUGGGGGGGGUAAUGGCCUACCAAGCCGACGAUGCCUAGCUGGUCUGAGAGGACGACCGGCCACACCGGGACUGAGACAAGGCCCGGACUCCUACGGGAGGCAGCAGUGGGGAAGAUUGCGCAAUGGGGGAAACCUGACGCAGCAAUGCCGCGUGAGUGAAGAAGGGCUUCGGGUUGUAAAGUUCUUUCGGGGAAGAGGCGUUAAUCACAGAAGAAGCACCGGCUAACUCCGUGCCAGCAGCCGCGGUAAUAC
rnacentral:rRNA from 1 species